UAACAAGGUAUCCCUACCGGAAGGUGGGGAUGGAUCACCUCCUUUCUAAGGAAUAAUUUUUUAAAUAUUCAUCUUCAGUUUUGAAAGACUUAGUUCUUAUAAGUUUUUCUUUUUUAAGGAAAAGAAAAUGGGCCUAUAGCUCAGUUGGUUAGAGCACACGCCUGAUAAGCGUGAGGUCGAUGGUUCAAGUCCAUUUAGGCCC
rnacentral:tRNA from 1 species